GCGGUACGGAACCGCCGCUCCGGACUGCGGGCGGGGAUUACGAGAAAGAAAGGGCCGGAACGGUUAUCGGAGAGCGAAUGUGUUUGGGAGUAUUUUAACGUAAGGCGCGAUGAGGGCAUCGCGAGGCUCAGCGAGCGGCAGAGGCCAGGCCGCACCGAGCGGGGAGCGGGCUGCGUGUGUGCCCCGACCGGCGGCAGCGUCUAACUGCCCGUUUAAGGAGGGAGGUGUAACGUGCUGGAGCUGCGGCGGCACCCGUGGAGCUGAAAAGUCGCUCGGCGUUGAGCAGAAAUCUUCCAGCUGUGCGGUUUGGAGCUCAGCUCACAGGCCUGCCGUACUGGGGCUGAGCGCUGCGUGCACGGAGCCGUUCCUCACCAGGUGGAUCGCUUCUGUGACACGCAGGGGCUUACUUGGAUUUUCCUCUUUGUUCAGGUGCUGGUGAAUCUGGUAAAAGCACAAUAGUCAAACAGAUGAGGAUUUUGCAUGUGAAUGGAUUUAAUGCUGAGUAA